GAAACAGGAAGGUGCGCGGCGGUGGAGAGAGAGAAGGAGAGAGGCUAGGUCUAGCUUCUACCGCCGAUGGCGGCUACCCUAGGGUGACGUAGUGAUAGGGCGGGAGGUGGGGUGGUGUAGCAGAGGGUGGCAGGUGGGUGUGACCGGUAAAGUGAGAGAGAAACAGAGAGCGUUGGUUAGGUCUAGGUCUAGGCGUCGCCGGCAGCGGUUGUAGAGCCCCGGGAGGCUAGGGUGGGGAGGGAAGACUGGGGCUCCGACGACCGGUUACGGAUGCCGCCGUUCCCGCCGCGGAUGAUGCUCACCUCGGAGCGCCUCGACGGGUACGAGCCGCAACGGAGGUAGCUUACGGUACCGUCUGCGUCGACCCGUAGCGCGACCUGACGCGGGCGGGUAGCGGUCGUCGUGUUGGGCGGGAGAGGGAGGGUAACUGGGUGGAUGGUCGCGGAGGUCGUACCUCGAGGCGGAGACGGAGGUGGAGGUGGGCGUGCGCGCCGGGGGAAGGCGGGGCUGCGGCGGAGGUACGGGACACCGGCACGACGAAGGGCGCAGGACGGCGCCGGCGGCUGACGCCUAACCAUUUCCCGACGAGGAUAACGAGGUCCGGUACGGAGACUAGGGAAGCAAAACCGAACCGUGGGGACCCCGACGAAUAAACGACCUCAAGGUUAGACCAACAGACAUUUAAGAAUAGGCGACCCGAAUAAACGAUCCUAACCAUUUCCUGACGAGGACAACGCGGGAGAGAGAGCCAAACUGAGAGAGAGAUAGAAAGACGACCGCGGCGACCUAAUCUCCCACCUCGGACUCGGAGGCGACCUCGUCCCUAGUCUGUAAACAAACUAGGGUCCGUAGAAGCUCCCGUAGUUGCACUGACACAAACGAAUACCUCGCUGCCUGUCGCCGUUCUGGAUGUGGUACGUCAACGAAGUUCAAUUUUCGCGUACUUCCCGUCCUCUCGCCCUUCCCCUCCUGGUCCGUACUUCCCGCCCCGGUUCCACCAACAGUACGGUGUGUUCGUGCUGUAGCAGAAGUAGCGGUUCCGGUUCCUCCUGCGUGAGACGUGGUUCUUGUACCAGCGGCCGCUCAGACAGAUGUCGCUCUUCUCCAAGAGGCAGGUCAAGUCACGUGAGAUCGACGAGGAAGAGCCAACGGAGAGUACAAAUACGCGUUAAGGUUUGUUUAAGAUACCCCAUUAGUCGAAUCUGAGCCGAUAACAAUCAAGGAUCUCCUCGUUUACUAUGCGAAUAAAAGUCAUUAAAAAUCUAUAUAAUACCCCUUAGAUCACGAUGACGACAGUCAGGGAUGAGGGAUCACGAUGACGAGAUUUAACUGAACCGCAACGUGACGAACGGUUUAACUAAACGAAAGAACGACGGUGUUUUUCAGUCAUGAGGGAUCACAACUUAGUCAUAAAUGUACGAACGUUUAUAACCAGACUUAGACGGUACGAGGGAUUUCAACUGAUUUAGAGUACCUUAUCUAAUACACAGGAAUGAAGAAAAUGACAAAACAAGUAUUAUAUAACCGAGAUCUAAAAAACUAAGAAGAGAAGACUAAGUACAUUGUCGAUGGAACGGACCGCGACCAUGAUAAUAGGAUAUGAUAAAAUGAUAGACAUACGAGAAGUGACGGGGACCUUCAUGGAGGUACGUUUUAUUCCAACUUGCCUCCUCUCAAACACUGACGAUAUCUUCCUAACUUCCUCCAGGUACAACUUCUUCUAGCUGUCUUCGUUAUCUCGAACAUUAUAACAGUAACGGUAACAUAAACACAACAUACUACAUAGGUGCAAAUGGG
rnacentral:rRNA from 1 species